GAAAGAAAUACACAGUCAAUACAAGGUAAAAGGUAAAGGACCAACAAUAUCUAUGGCCAGAGAUUCCAUAGGAGCCCGUACAGUAAACUGUUGUAAUGGAGACCUGCCUCGUCCUAGACCUGAUUUACAGCAUGCACACAAGUCUCAAGAUUUCAACCAUCCUUUAAUGUCCUUAGACAUUCCUGGCAAAUAAAAUCUUGUUUUGAUAGA